rnacentral:rRNA from 1 species
AUUGAACGCUGGCGGCAGGCCUAACACAUGCAAGUCGAGCGGGACGGGCGACGGGCGAGUGAUGCCUAUGAAUCUGCCUGGUAGUUGGGGAUAACGUCCGGCAGCGGACGCUAAUACAGCAUACUCUCAAAUGAGCCUAGGUCGGAUUAGCUAGUUGGUGGGGUAAGGGCCUACCAAGGCGACGAUCCGUCACUGGUCUGAGAGGAUGAUCAGUCACACUGGAACUGAGACACGGUCCAGACUACGACGGGAGGCAGCAGUGGGGAAUAUUGGACAAUGGGCGAAAGCCUGAUCCAGCCAUGCCGCGUGUGUGAAGAAGGUCUUCGGAUUGUAAAGCACUUUAAGUUGGGAGGCGUUACCAACAGAAUAAGCACCGGCUAACUUCGUGCCAGCCGCCGCGGUAAUAC